AGAUUUGUCACAAUGGUUGAUGCCUACACAUGUGUAAGUGUCAGGCUACACAAUGCUGGACAGUUGUGGGAGUUCUUUGACCUACAUGGGUCUGUGCUUUAGUUGAAAAGAGGAUAGCAAAAGCAAUGCAAUCUUCAUGUGAAAGAUGUCAAGUUCUUCGGAGAGAAUACAAUCUUUGCUGAUCAACAGCACAUGUACAUGUGCCUGAAUAACUUUGUGAUCUGUGACUCCUGCGAGGAGAUGGCAAACAAGAAAACAUGCGAAUUCCUGAGGACGUCAGAAACAAAUUUACAGUGUACAAUUUGUUCUAGACACUUUGAAGUAUUAAACUGAAGCCUGGGCCUUUCAGUGAAAGAAACCAUGGGUCAAUAUUGAUCCUUAAUAUUAAAGAGAGAGAAGUAAAUACCCAUGGGUGUCCUCGUUUGGAGAGUGAGUAAAGAUAUGUUCUAAGAGGGAAAAUGCCAAUAUUUAUUUAUUUCUAUAAAAUAUAUAUAUUUUAGACAACUUCUAUUUAUUGACAAGGAUAAUAGCUGCCUUUGACUGAUCGAUUGCUGUUUUGAUAUGUUCUCCAUAUUGCUUGUGUUGAAGAAAUAUUGACAAAAUGGGAUCUAUUGUGACUGACAGCACAAUCUUCAGCUAUCGCUAUUUGGCAAUGGUGAACAUGAUUACAUUGGGAACUGAGCUCUGCUCAUCUGCGGCCUUCAGUUACCUCCCGCCCUUGCUACUUGAAGCAGGCUUCUCGGAAAGCGGGAUGAGCACCGUGAUGGCCAUGGGACCAUUCAUGGCGCUGUUUUUGCUGCCGGUCAUGGGAACGUCGAGCGAUCGCUGCCGAAGUCGGUUUGGGCGUCGUCGACCUUACAUCGCCUUUCUCUCCGUUGGAAUCAUCCUGUCAUUAAUACUUCUUCCAAACACCAAGGCGAUCACUGCAUACUUCACCUCAUAUUUCCCCGAGAAGCAGUUUGGCUUGAUGUUGCUAGCAGCAUGUGUGGUUCUUCUGGACUUCUGCUCCCAGGUAUGCUACACACCCAUCGAGUCGCUUCUCUCGGACCCCUGUAAAACGGAAACUCAGCGUAACCGCAGCUUCGGUAUAUUCUCACUCAUGAUGUCGUUAGGUGCAUGCCUAGGCUACUGGGUUGUGUCGGUGGAUUGGAAGAACACCCUGUUGGGCUAUUACUUUGGAGGGCAAGAAAGAACGUUGUUCAAUCUACUCCUCAUCCUCUUCACAUUUUCUUUUCUUAUAUCAACUUACUUUGCAUAUGAUCCUCCGUUAUUUGAUGCUGUGCCCAAAGACAUCGCUGAAGCCACCACUGCCAAUGCCCGUCCAACCGUGAAUGGAAAUGCUGCUCUAAAGACUGCCAAUGGCAAAGCCAUAACAACAGUACCAAUGCCGAUAUCAGCAACCUCGCAGGCACUACCCUUCCGCAUCGCUUCCACGAUCUCCGUGAAGAACGUGUGCUCGUCUCUUUUCUCGUACAUUCCUAGACCAAAGAUUGACUUAAGUCCUAUCGCUGAUACCCUGGAGGGUAUACGGACAAUGCCAAAGGCCAUGAAAACGCUUUGGCUCGCUCAUCUAACAACAUCCACGGCGGUGAUGGGCUUUCGGCUGUACUUUACAGACUAUAUGGGAGAGUCAAUAUUCAGUGGUAACCCCGAUGCCCUUGACGGUUCUCCAGUUAAAAGAGCAUAUGAAGAAGGUAUUCGUAUGGGGAGCUUCGGCCUUCUCCUCCAUAGCAUAAUCUCUGCCGUGUUCUCAGUCGCCAUUGGCGCUGUUAUCACGACGUGGGGUGCCGUCCGGACCUACAUAUUUGGCAUGGUACUGUUCACACUAGCAACAUUCUUCAUGCUCUUCAUGGACGGGAUCGUGUUCACACUUCUCCUCGCGAGUCUGACGGGCUUCGCCAACGCUACCAUCACCACAGUGCCAUAUACGCUUCUAACGGGCUACCACCAAAAGAAAGAAUUGUACUACCAAGACAGCGAUGAUGCGGAUGCCCAUGGCAAGGGUGCGGAUCUAGCCCUCCUUGACAGCGCUUACAUCCUCUCCGAGGUCAUCUCGUCAUUCGCCUUCGGUGUGAUCGUCGAGAUCACCAAGACGACUGGAGCGUACAUUGCCUGCUCGUUCGCUUGUGGCCUUGCGAGCUGUUUCCUCGUACUACGAAUCAAAUAGUACUUGUGCUAUGUUACCAAACCUAACUGUUGUUUGUUUUUGUUGUUGUUCAGGAUGGGGAUUUCUUGAAUGCAAGAGGAAGAGCGGGAGAGAAGGGGGAGAGUGAGAGAGAGAGAAAGAGGGGGAGAGAGAGAGGGAGAGAGAGAGAGAGGCAAAAAAUAGAUGUUCAUCUUCAUCAAGUUGAAUUGAUUAGGUACAUGUAUUUCAUUUUGGUUUGUCUUGAUAUGGUCAACUGGUAGAAAUCAUGAUAGUCAAAAGUAAUUUUCAUAUUUUUACAUCCCUGGUCCAGAUGAUCUAAUCCUAUUUUGUAGACCUGCCAACCAGUACGUUUUAGCCGUAUUUAAAAGUUAAGGGUUAGACAGCAAUUUUGACAGCUGGAAACAGGUGGUGGUCAUAAAAUGCUCUUGUUGAAUGUCCAUUCGUAAUAGGUCCAUGGUCUUACAACCUGUUUGUCUUCUAUCAGUUCGUACAUGUAUGAAUCAUUUGGUCUCAUUGCCACUUUACCAUUUUGUCUAAAUAAUUGCCAUUUUAUAGGCUAUACUAAUUUCUUGGAUGACCUUGUUGGUCAACUCGUACUGGUAGAUGAAUUUUCAUAAACCAACGUAAUUUGACAAAGUGGAAGGAAACAAACUAUACAAAUUUUAGUCUAAGUGACAGGUAGACCAAAUGGGUUUAUCUAAUAAUGCGGUAUUUAUCUUUAGACAAUCUGAGAAGUGAGUGUAAACAAUGCGGAUAUAAACUUCAGAUUUUAGUCUGAAAAAAAAAUGUUUUUUUAAAGAAAGAACCUAUAUCCUGUAUGCUGUGCUAUUUUUAAGUCAGUACCGUAUUGGGAAAGUUAAGCCUUUAUAAGCUGCAUUAAUGGCAUAAAAAUGUGUUUUUAUUUCUUUUUUUAUACACCUGUACUCGUUGAAUGAAGUAUUUCCCCCCUCUCCUAUCAGAGGAGAACAUUCUACUACUGAGUAUUGAUUAAUGAGAUGUGUAAUUUUAUAUAGGUUUUAUCAAUUUAUGAUUUUUUUUCUUCUUUUUAAAACACUAAUACUAGGCCCUCCCACAUACAUUUACAUGUCAUGCAUUCGCCCAUACAUGUGUAUAUCUUCUGCAUAUACACAUAUAAAUACAUAAAACAAUUUUAUAACAAUGUACAUGUAUAAAAUAAAAAAAAUAAAGAAAGUGAGGAAAGUAAUGACCAAAAAGGUAGAAGCUUAUGAAAAUAUAAAAAUUAAAAUAUUAAUAAUAAUAGUCAUGAACACAAUCAUGAUACACCAUAAAAUCACAAUGAUUAC